UGCAUGAAAAGGCAAACCCGUUUGAAAGAACGGAGACGCAAAGCUACCGGUCUAAGGAGCAAUCUAUGACAGCGGGGCCGCCAAU
rnacentral:ncRNA from 1 species